GGGGUCGAAAGGAUUUCGACGGGGAAUGUGCCCCUAGCGUAAGCGAGCCGAGUGGCGGAAACUCGUUAAUCAGCCGCGUCUUUAAGAAGAAACGACAGUAAACCUCUUCUAAAAGCUGCUUAAGCACAGCGCUUAGCAGCCGUCUAGGCCCGGGAACUGCGACCGGGCUGUCGGGCGUCAAUUAGCAGUGCACGUGAACGGGGCAGCGCCGCAUAACCCGUCAUGCAUCAUGUGGCUACCAACGCGACCAGCCCGCCGAUCGGCGGAUCGCGGAGGAAAUGCAAACGAUCGGCUACGCUCGUAGAAAACCUAGGAAACCGUUUUUCGGACGCGGGUUCGAUUCCCGCCGACUCCACCA
rnacentral:tmRNA from 1 species